GAUGAACGCUGGCGGCGUGCUUAACACAUGCAAGUCGAACGAUGAUGCCCAGCUUGCUGGGUGGAUUAGUGGCGAACGGGUGAGUAACACGUGAGUAACCUGCCCUUGACUCUGUGAUAAGCCUGGGAAACUGUGUCUAAUACCGGAUACGACCAUCUGGCGCAUGUCAUGGUGGUGGAAAGCUUUUGUGGUUUUGGAUGGACUCGCGGCCUAUCAGCUUGUUGGUGGGGUAAUGGCCUACCAAGGCGACGACGGGUAGCCGGCCUGAGAGGGUGACCGGCCACACUGGGACUGAGACACGGCCCAGACUCCUACGGGAGGCAGCAGUGGGGAAUAUUGCACAAUGGGCGCAAGCCUGAUGCAGCGACGCCGCGUGAGGGAUGACGGCCUUCGGGUUGUAAACCUCUUUCAGUAGGGAAGAAGCGAAAGUGACGGUACCUGCAGAAGAAGCGCCGGCUAACUACGUG
rnacentral:rRNA from 1 species